AUUUAUAUAGUUUAUAAUAAAACAUUACAUUUUCAUUGUAAAAUUAAGAAAAAUUCUUUAUAAAUA
rnacentral:tRNA from 1 species